UAAAAGUGUCCAGGGAUGGGGAUCGAACCCACAAUGUUCCGCUUACCGGGCAGAUGCCAUGUACACUAGGCUAGGAUAUU